rnacentral:lncRNA from 1 species
CCUGAAACCUGGAGCACUAGGGAGCAGAGAUGUCCAAGCUGCUGCAAAGGAGCCCUGGGCAGAAGCAGUGCUGAGCUGGAGCUCGUAAGCCUGGCCAGAGCCCAAAGUGAGGAGCUGCUCAGGCUCCUGCUGCCUGGAAGUGAGCAAGUGGCUGGCCCUGGAAGAAAUACAGUGUCUGCACCGGGAGCAGCAUGAGCCACUGACUCUUCGUUAGCCAACUCUCCACCUGGCCUGAAGGGCAGGGAGAGGAGCUCGGGUGGUCCUCGAGGAGGAGAUCUACAAAGCCAGUAUUCCUUAAGUGAACAGAGUGGAAUAGCCUUUCCUAGCUCUACGGAGACUGUUAAUCACCUGAUGUGUUCUUAGCCUAAAAAAAACAGGAUUCUGGUAUUCCUGCCUGCACCACAUCUUUCAGCUGCAUUUUAGUGACUGGAUCAGCACUGGUAUUUGGUUGCCUGUGCGUGGUUCUCGCACUACUGCUGACCAAGAACAUGACCAUUCAGCAGCAGCCAGCUACAGUUUUUUCUUUUCCAGUUCUAACUUUGGAAUGUAAACUACAGCCUGUCCUUCAGGUACAGCCCUGCGCGCAGAAACGCUGGAGGUGUCACCAGACAACACCCUUGCUGCAGAUAGACUGAUGCAUCAGUUAUGUGAGGAGCACGCAACUCCUAUAGAUUCUGCCACGUGAAGAAACACUCCCCGACUCGGCCCUGCUGCAGCGCAGUGCUGGAGACCGAAGGCUGGGCCGGGUGAGCCGGCUGUUACAGUGACUCGCUCCCGCUUACGGCGCACCGUGCCCUAAAGCGCUAGCAGGAGAUAAUGGCACUCGGCGCAAGGCAUUUCUUCCCUAAACGGAGAAGUAUCCUAUUACACUUACCUGCAAUGGACAGACUUGUCUGAAACCGCUA